AUGCUCUCUUUCUAAAAUAAAAACAAAAAAACCCAAAUAGGAUGAUCAAAGAAGCUUUCUUUGCCAAGGUGACAUAAGCUAAGAUCUGAAAGAUGUUCAGGAACCUGCUAUUCUAGAAUCUGGACAAAGAACAUACCAGGCAGAGAAGACACAAAGUAUAUAACCCUGAGAUGAGAAAAAGUCACCGGAAUUUUGACAGAGACUGCUUUGGGUAGUAUGGACAUUUUACCAAUAUUAAGUCUUCUGAUCCAUGAACACAAGGUUGACCCUGAUGUGGAAUGCAGGCUCAUAUCCUUUCAAUUCUUCCAUCAAGCAACACAAGUAGCUGUGAGUAGCUGACUCUAUUAAGUCUACUGGUACCUCAUGGAGCUUAUGU